CCGAGUUUACAACUCCCAAACCCAAUGUGAACGUUACCAAACUGUUGCCUCGGCGGGAUCUCUGCCCCGGGCGCGUCGCAGCCCCGGACCAAGGCGCCCGCCGGAGGACCAACCAAAACUCUUAUUGUAUACCCCCUCGCGGGUUUUUUACUAUCUGAGCCAUCUCGGCGCCCCUCGUGGGCGUUUCGAAAAUGAAUCA
rnacentral:misc_RNA from 1 species